GAGGGUAUAGCUCAGUGGUAGAGUGCAUGCUUAGCAUGCACGAGGUCCUGGGUUCGAUCCCCAGUACCUCCU
rnacentral:tRNA from 1 species